UCAAAGAAGAAACUGAUCUAAAAAAUCUUAAAAAUUCUAAAAUCUUAGCACGUUAUUUUCCUAUCCAAGGGUUCCGGAAUCAGGCAUCAACUUCCAGGCUCUAUUAUAUCGGCAAAACAAAAACAAACUGACUGGUUUCCGUCAGAUAUCUUUCCAACCUAGCAGUUCACAACUCUUGGCGGGAACCAGUCCCCUUUUCUGCGUCUGAGGCCACAACACGUGCUCUAAAUGUGCACGCAGUCUUGCAAUGGCGGGUGUUUUGAAGGUGCCACAGAAUUUGUGACUUGUAUUUUGAAGCAGAAUUAUUGGGAGAGUAUGAGCUAUUUCUUCUAUUCUCCUACCAGACGAUACGAGGGUUGGUUAGUAACUGCUAUUCGGAUGAACAAUUGUGGAAUGCCACCAAAAUCCUUUGAAUGCAUGUUGUUUGUGUUGCAAGAAGUACUCUCGGACCAAUAGCAAGAUUUCCUCAU